GUUAAGAGACUACAACUCCCAGCAAGCCAGGCGAGGGCCCCCGCCCCCUCCGCGCACCGCCGGCGGCCCCGCCCCGCGAAGCCUAGCACUCUCCCUAAACCUCUCUCGCACGCGGGGAUUGAGCACGGCCCGAAAAGCCGAGGACAACCGGACUCACCCUGUAGUUAUAGUAGUGCGUCUGCACAAGAUGCCAGUGGCGCGACUUGUGGUUGCCGAAGUUGGAUUUCUCGCAAACCACAGGCUAACAUGGGCUUGUUCUCAUGGAGAUGAAAGCAUUCUGAAAGAAAAAGCAGAAGCAUUCAAGAUCUUUUGAGCCUAACCCUGAAACUGGCACACUGUCAUACUCUCUGCAUUCUGCUGGCCAGAGGAAAUAAGGCCAGCCCAGAUACAAGACUUGGGGAAACAAAUUCUGUCUGUUUAUGGGAGCAGCUAUAAAAUCUCAUUGCAAAGGUCAUAGAUAGGGAAGUAUGAAGAAUUGUUCUUAUUUUUUCAAUCAGUAUCAUUAUGCCUUUUCUUGCAGAUGAGGUUUACCUAAUUGUUCCAAAUCAAAUUCAAAACCUUGAAGUUACUAAGUGACUAGGUUGUAACUCAGUAGUAUCAACUAUACUUGACUCCAAAGCCCAGACACCUCUAUAGACCACAGUACUCAUACAUCUCCCCUAUUCCUUCAAGAUUCUGGAGAGUGACACUUCUGUAAAUGCCCAUCUAGGGCUCUUCACUUAUACCCAUUGGGUAUAAUUCCCUCCAGAGAAAGCUGAACUGUCUUGGAAGAACUUAAAAUAAAUUAGGGAAACAGCUGAGGGCUGAGUUUAGAAAUCAAGGCUCCAGCAAUAUAUUUUUUAUUUCUAAUUAUAGGGGAAAUUUGAAAACACAUAUAGUGCACUCCAUAUGUUUGCAAAUUCUUUUCGUCCAUUUUUAGUAUUUGUAGGCUAUUUAUGAUUUUCAAAGCAAGCUAAAUCAAACGGUGCCUGAAACAACCUCUUACUCUGAAAAGCAGGCAACAUAAAGAUAGAUCUGCUGAGAAGACAUUUCCACCUGCUGCAAUUUAGACAAACAGCUGACUGUGUAUUGAAGCAGUCCUUUGAUUUUCACAGGGCAAAGCUGUUUCCAAGACCCCAAACUGAGGAACUGCCAUGGGGCACACAUGGAAAUCACACACAGCUAAUGCAUCCCUCACUCUGAACCAGUGGUCCAUAUCCAUGGCUGCACGUUAAAAUCACCUGGGGAGCUUUUAAAAUUCCCAAAACCCAAGUUACAAGAGACCUAUUAAAUUGGAUUCCCUGGAGUGGGACCCAGGCAACGGUGUCGUUUAAAGCUCUCUAUGUGGUUAUAUUGUGUGGUCAAGGCUGAAAAGCCACUGCUUUAAACCAGCAUCUUUUGAUGAACUAGUUGCAAAUAAUUUCUCAAAUAAAUGUAAAAUGUUCGCUGCUGAAUUGUAGGCUUUCAGUCUUAUCUGUGGUACCUACUUACUGUCUUUGUACAAACCUACCUCUGCUGCUUGUUUUGUUCCUGGUUCAACUCAGUUCCAUGGGUAUUGAGGGCAUUUUACAUGCAGAAGAGUGUGGCAGGUGCCAUGGCCUUGGUGAGCAUCAUUGUUGGGGAAGGACUUUGCUGGGGGGAAAAAAAAUUGUAUUAUAAAAACUCAAAACUAUGCCAUUUACCAAACUGAGGCAAAAAUACAAAUAUCUGGGUGGUCACCUGAGAAAACAUGAAUAGAUACCUUGGAAUUUUAA